rnacentral:misc_RNA from 1 species
GAUGAAGAACGUAGCGAAAUGCGAUAAGUAAUGUGAAUUGCACAAUUCAGUGAAUCAUCGAAUCUUUGAACGCACCUUGCGCUCUUUGGUAUUCCGGAGAGCAUGCCUGUUUGAGUGUCAUGAAAAUAUCAACCUUGACUUGGGUUUUGUGCUCUAGUCUCGGCUUGGAAUUGGGUGCUUGCCGCUUUUACGAGCGGCUCACCUUAAAUGUAUUAGCUGGAUCUGUCUUUGAGACUUGGUUUGACUUGGCGUAAUAAGUAUUUCGCUAAGGACAUUCUUCGGAGUGGCCUCGUUUCUAGGACGCUUGUCCGCUUUCCAAUACAAGUUCCACCUCGUGGACAUGACUUUUUAUUAUCUGGCCUCAAAUCAGGUAGGACUACCCGCUGAACUUAAGCAUAUCAAUAAGCGGAGGA